GUCUACGGCCAUACCACUCUGGCAACGCCCGAUCUCGUCCGAUCUCGGAAGCUAAGCAGGGUCGGGCC
rnacentral:rRNA from 1 species